AUGCCAGGAAUCAUAGUGGAUGGAGUUGUUACAGAGGAGAUUCAGCAUGAGGUGGGUUCCUCUCAAAACAAGGAGAAUUUGACGGCCCCAACCAUGGCGCCAAGCAUGCAGAGUGAGACACUUGAGAUGCACGUUGAGAAUUCUGGUGCUGGGGAGCCCUCGAUUGAGCAACUCUACAACAACGUGUGUGAGAUGGAGAGCUCAAGUGAGGGUGGCGGAUCCCCAUCACGCGAGAGCUUCGGGUCGGAUGGAGAGGAAUCAAGGAUCGACUCAGAGCUUCGCCACCUUGUUGCUGGGGAGAUGGAGGCCAUGAAGGUCAUUGAGGAGGAGGAGGAGAAGGAGAAGGAGAAGGGGAGUGGAAGUGUUACCAAUGCGGUACCUACUGCUGGGAAUGGUACCCCUGUCAGGCCUCAGUCUUCUAAUUCAUCCAAGAAGAAGGCUACAAAAUCACAGCUUGAAUCUGAUGCUUCUGUUGGCCCCAAUGGCAAGGCAUCCCCCGAGGAAGGCGAGAGUGAGGUCAGCAAGCCCGGAAGCCGAGUUGGCCGUCGACGGAAAGCUAGUGCCAAAUCACAGAAUGGGACAGAAGAUGCUGGUCUUGAUAACCCAGACCUUGGUCCAUUUCUUCUUAAGCAUGCAAGAGACUUGAUUGCCUCUGAUAAUCCGCGACGAGCGCUGAAAUAUGCUCUCCGUGCGACCAAAUCAUUUGAGAAAUGUGCAGGUGGAAAGCCAAGCUUGAACUUGGUCAUGAGUUUGCAUGUUGUGGCUGCAAUCCACUGCAACAUGGGAAAGUACGAAGAAGCUGUACCUGUCCUACAACGAUCCCUCGAGAUUCCUGUGACCGAGGAAGGUCAGGAGCACGCUCUUGCCAAGUUUUCUGGCUGCAUGCAAUUGGGGGACACCUAUGGGAUGCUAGGUCAGAUUGCCCUCUCACUGCAAUGGUAUGCCAAAGGGCUUGAAAUCCAGAAGCAGACAUUGGGGGAGCAGGAUCCAAGGGUUGGAGAGACUUGCCGGUACUUGGCUGAGGCUCAUGUGCAGGCACUACAAUUAGAUGAAGCACAAAAAUUGUGCCAGAUGGCUCUUGACAUUCACAGGGAUAAUGGCCAGCCAGCAUCACUUGAAGAAACGGCUGAUAGGAGGCUAAUGGGUCUUAUUUGUGACACAAAGGGUGACCAUGAAGCUGCGUUAGAACAUCUAGUGAUGGCGAGCAUGGCCAUGGUCGCCAAUGGCCAGGAGACUGAGGUGGCCUCAGUGGAUUGCAGUAUUGGUGACAUUUAUCUCUCAUUGGGUCGAUAUGAUGAGGCUGUAUGUGCUUAUCAGAAAGCUCUUACGGUAUUCAAGACUAGCAAAGGGGAGAAUCAUGCCACCGUGGCUUCUGUUUUCCUGCGGCUUGCUGAUUUAUACAACAAAACAGGGAAGCUGAGGGAAUCAAAAUCAUACUGUGAGAAUGCUCUCAAAAUUUAUCAGAAACCUAUUCCAGGCACGUCUCUUGAAGAAAUUGCCACUGGUUUGACUGAUGUUUCAGCCAUAUAUGAGACCAUGAAUGAGCAUGACCAAGCACUGAAGUUACUCCAGAAGGCCUUGAAGAUGUACAAUAAUUCUGCUGGCCAACAGAGCACAAUUGCUGGAAUUGAAGCUCAGAUUGGUGUCUUGCACUACAUCUCUGGGAAUUAUGGCGAUGCAUAUGACUCCUUCAAGAGUGCGAUUACAAAGCUCCGCACAUGUGGUGAGAAAAAGUCCGCCUUCUUCGGUAUUGCCCUGAACCAGAUGGGGCUGGCGUGUGUUCAAAGAUACUCCAUAAAUGAAGCUGCAGAACUCUUCGAGGAAGCUAGAACCGUUCUGGAGCAAGAAUACGGGCCAUAUCAUGCAGAUACUCUAGGAGUAUACAGCAAUCUUGCUGGAACUUAUGAUGCAAUGGGAAGACUGGAUGAGGCCAUUGAGAUCUUGGAAUACGUUGUUGAAAUGCGCGAAGAGAAGCUAGGUACGGCGAACCCAGACGUUGACGACGAGAAGCGGAGGCUUGCCGAGUUGCUGAAGGAGGCUGGCCGGGGGAGAAGCAGGAAGGCAAAAUCCCUGGAAAAUCUUCUCGAGACCAACCCAUACACCAUCGGGAAGAGGACUACAGUUGCAGCGUGA
rnacentral:rRNA from 1 species